rnacentral:lncRNA from 1 species
CGAAAGAUACCAGAGGGGAAGUCAAACUCGCAGAUGGAGCUAGUGUGUUCAGCAGAACCAUAUAAAUAAAGGUAACAGUAGUAUACCGCUGUUCAAAAUUCAUAAAUCGAUAGAGAAAAAGCAAAUCCGGGUCACAAACUAAAACUGAGGGAAACGUAUCAAACAUAAGAGAACUACGACACAACAGAGACACAACACCGAAAUGUAAACAGAAA